rnacentral:rRNA from 1 species
UACGUAGGGGGCUAGCGUUGUCCGGAAUCAUAGGGCGUAAAGCGCGUGUAGGCGGUCCGGUAAGUCCGCUGUGAAAGUCGGGGGCUCAACCCUCGGAUGCCGGUGGAUACUGUCGGGCUUGAGUACGGAAGAGGCGAGUGGAAUUCCUGGUGUAGCGGUGAAAUGCGCAGAUAUCAGGAGGAACACCAAUUGCGAAGGCAGCUCGCUGGGACGUUACUGACGCUGAGACGCGAAAGCGUGGGGAGCAAACAGG